UUGCUUUGGCAGCACAUAUACUACAACUGGAAGAAUACAGAGAAGAUUAGCAUUGGUCCCUGCAUGAGGAUGACAUCGAAAUUUGCAAGCAUUCCAUAUUUUUU
ensembl:snRNA U6 U6 spliceosomal RNA